rnacentral:rRNA from 1 species
UGGGGAAUAUUGCACAAUGGGGGAAACCCUGAUGCAGCAACGCCGCGUGAAGGAAGACGGUUUUCGGAUUGUAAACUUCUUUUCUUAGUGAAGAAGAAAGUGACGGUAGCUAAGGAAUAAGCAUCGGCUAACUACGUGCCAGCAGCCGCGGUAAUACGUAGGAUGCGAGCGUUAUCCGGAAUUACUGGGUGUAAAGGGAGCGCAGGCGGGACUGCAAGUUGGAUGUGAAAUGCCGCAGCUUAACUGCGGAGCUGCAUCCAAAACUGUAGUUCUUGAGUGGAGUAGAGGCAAGCGGAAUUCCGA